UGGCGGAAGGGUGAGGAACACGUGGGUAAUCUACCUCUGAGUUGGGGACAACCCUGGGAAACUGGGGCUAAUACCGAAUAUGAUCGCGCCGCGCCUGUGGCGAUGAUUAAAGGCGGGGAUCUUCGGACCUGCCGCUUAGAGAGGAGCCCGCGUCCCAUCAGCUUGUUGGUGAGGUAACGGCUCACCAAGGCUUACGGGUAGCUGGUCUGAGAGGAUGGUCAGCCACACUGGGACUGAGACACUGCCCAGACUCCUACGGGAGGCUGCAGUCGAGGAUCAUUCGCAAUGCGCGAAAGCGUGACGAUGCGACGCUGCGUGGAGGAUGAAGGCCCUAGGGUCGUAAACUCCUGUCAUGAGGGAAAAGUAACCCGGCGGUCAAUAUCCGCAGGGAUCGAUGGUACCUCAAGAGGAAGCCACGGCUAACUCUGUGCCAGCAGCCGCGGUAAUACAGAGGUGGCUAGCGUUGUUCGGAUUUACUGGGCGUAAAGGGUGCGUAGGUGGUAUCGUAUGUCGGAUGUGAAAGCCCAUGGCUCAACUGUGGAACUGCAUUCGAAACUGCGGAACUAGAGUACAGGAGGGGAGAGCGGAAUUCUUGGUGUAGCGGUGAAAUGCGUUGAUAUCAAGAAGAACACCGGCGGCGAAGGCGGCUCUCUGGAAUGUUACUGACACUGAGGCACGAAAGCUGGGGGAGCAAACAGGGUUAGAUACCCUGGUAGUCCCAGCCGUAAACGGUGUGCACUUGG
rnacentral:rRNA from 1 species